rnacentral:rRNA from 1 species
UACGAAGGGGGCUAGCGUUGCUCGGAAUCACUGGGCGUAAAGGGUGCGUAGGCGGGUCUUUUAAGUCAGGGGUGAAAUCCUGGAGCUCAACUCCAGAACUGCCUUUGAUACUGAAGAUCUUGAGUUCGGGAGAGGUGAGUGGAACUGCGAGUGUAGAGGUGAAAUUCGUAGAUAUUCGCAAGAACACCCGUGGCGAAAGCGGCUCUCUGGGACGGUACUGACGCUGAGACGCGAAAGCGUGGGGAGCGAACAGG